ACCAAUUGAUAGAGUUAGGAACAAAGAAAUUAUAAUUUCAGUGAAUUUGGUUUGUAUGGACAAUGGCAGAAUGCCAUGCCCUGUUUCAAUAAAUCUUUCAUAGAUAUAGAUAUCUCUUCUUCUAGUAAAUACUUCUCAAUACAAGAUAACAACGAGAAAACAAGAAGAUCAAAAUAACCAGGGAAAAUGGGAAAUGGAUUGUAUUUGCAGAAAUGAAACUUUAACUGAAUUAAAAUAUUGGAAUGA
rnacentral:misc_RNA from 1 species